UCCCAAAGUGCUGGGAUUAGAAGUGUUAGCCACCGCACCUGGCCUAUUCAAAAAAUUCUCUAUGGAGCUUCCACCAUAUACAAGGUAUGGACAAGCAGGAACUGAACACACACAGCCCUGCCCACCCGGCGCUGACAGCAGGAGAGACAGACCAUGCGACUAUCGAAGAAACCAGAGCCAGAAAAUAGGACCCGGACCUCUCUGGAUCUGCAUCCUCCCCCUAGUAAAAUGGGAGACACACCGCUAUCCAGACAACUGGGAUUCCUGGACCAGACUUUUCUUUUGAGCUCCUGGCAGCCUCCAGUCAGCUUUCUGUCUCUAUGGACUGGCCUGUCCUAGACAUUCCUUAUCAAUGGAGUCACACAGUAUGUGGUCAUUUCGUCUGGCUUCUUUCACUUAGCACCAUGGCAUCAGGGUUCAUCCACAUUGUAUAACCUGGAUCGG
rnacentral:lncRNA from 1 species